rnacentral:rRNA from 1 species
CCGAAUGGGGAAACCCACUGCUUCGGCAGUAUCCUGCAGUGAAUUCAUAGCUGCUGGAAGCGAACCCGGUGAACUGAAAUAUCUAAGUAACCGGAGGAAAAGAAAUCAACCGAGAUUCCCUAAGUAGUGACGAGCGAACGGGGAGCAGCCCUUAAGCUGGAAUGGCUUUAGAAAAACAAUCUGGAAAGAUUGGCCAUAGAAGGUGAUAGCCCUGUAUUUAAAAGGGCCACUCCAGUGAAGACGAGUAGGGCGGGGCACGUGAAACCCUGUCUGAAUAUGGGGGGACCAUCCUCCAAGGCUAAAUACUCCUGACCGACCGAUAGUGAACCAGUACCGUGAGGGAAAGGCGAAAAGAACCCCGGAGAGGGGAGUGAAAUAGAUCCUGAAACCGUGUGCGUACAAGCAGUAGGAGCUCGCAAGAGUGACUGCGUACCUUUUGUAUAAUGGGUCAGCGACUUACUGUUCGUGGCAAGCUUAACCGUAUAGGGGAGGCGAAGGGAAACCGAGUCUGAUAAGGGCGCAUAGUCGCGGGCAGUAGACCCGAAACCGGGUGAUCUAGUCAUGGCCAGGGUGAAGGUGCCGUAACAGGUACUGGAGGCCCGAACCCACGUCUGUUGCAAAAGACGGGGAUGAGCUGUGAUUAGGAGUGAAAAGCUAAUCGAACCCGGAGAUAGCUGGUUCUCCUCGAAAGCUAUUUAGGUAGCGCCUCAUAUGUAUCCUCUCGGGGGUAGAGCACUGUUAUGGCUAGGGGGUCAUCGCGACUUACCAAACCAUUGCAAACUCCGAAUACCGAGACGGACUGUAUGGGAGACACACGGCGGGUGCUAACGUCCGUCGUGAAAAGGGAAACAACCCAGACCCACAGCUAAGGUCCCAAAUUCACUGCUAAGUGGAAAACGAUGUGGAAAGGCAUAGACAGCCAGGAGGUUGGCUUAGAAGCAGCCACCCUUUAAAGAAAGCGUAAUAGCUCACUGGUCGAGUCGGUCUGCGCGGAAGAUUUAACGGGGCUAAGCAGUGAACCGAAGCUUGGGGUGCAUAAAACUUGUUUUAUGCGCGGUAGAGGAGCGUUCCGUAAGCCUGCGAAGGUGGAUUGAGAAGUCUGCUGGAGGUAUCGGAAGUGCGAAUGCUGACAUGAGUAACGAUAAUGCGGGUGAAAAGCCCGCACGCCGAAAGCCCAAGGUUUCCUUGCGCAACGUUAAUCGACGCAGGGUUAGUCGGUCCCUAAGGCGAGGGCGAAAGCCGUAGUCGAUGGGAAGCAGGUUAAUAUUCCUGCACCUCGCGUGAGUGCGAUGGAGGGACGGAGAAGGUUAGGUGUACCGGGCGUUGGUUGUCCCGGGGAAAGGCGGUAGGUUUGGAUCUUUGGCAAAUCCGGGAUCCUUUAAGACCGAGCACCGAGACGAGCCUUUAUGGCGAAGUCACUGAUACCACGCUUCCAGGAAAAGCUCCUAAGCUUCAGCUCACGAAGACCGUACCGUAAACCGACACAGGUGGGUAGGAUGAGAAUUCUCAGGCGCUUGAGAGAACUCGGGUGAAGGAACUAGGCAACAUGGCACCGUAACUUCGGGAGAAGGUGCACCCUUUUUGGUGGCUCGUGCGAGCUAUAGCUGAAGAGGGUCGCAGAAACCAGGCCGCUGCGACUGUUUAUCAAAAACACAGCACUCUGCAAACACGAAAGUGGACGUAUAGGGUGUGACGCCUGCCCGGUGCUGGAAGGUUAAUUGAUGGGGUCAGCCGCAAGGCGAAGCUCUUGAUCGAAGCCCCAGUAAACGGCGGCCGUAACUAUAACGGUCCUAAGGUAGCGAAAUUCCUUGUCGGGUAAGUUCCGACCUGCACGAAUGGCGUAACGACAGCGGCGCUGUCUCCACCCGAGACUCAGUGAAAUUGAAAUCGCUGUGAAGAUGCAGCGUCCCCGUGGCAAGACGGAAAGACCCCGUGAACCUUUACUAUAGCUUUACACUGAACGUUGAGUUCGUCUGUGUAGGAUAGGUGGGAGGCUAUGAAACUGUGGCGCUAGCUGCAGUGGAGCCAUCCUUGAAAUACCACCCUGUCGUGCUUGACGUUCUAACCUAGGUCCGUUAUCCGGAUCAGGGACCGUGUAUGGUGGGUAGUUUGACUGGGGCGGUCUCCUCCUAAAGAGUAACGGAGGAGCACGAAGGUACGCUCAGCGCGGUCGGACAUCGCGCACUGUGUGCAAAGGCAUAAGCGUGCUUGACUGCAAGAUCGACGGAUCAAGCAGGUACGAAAGUAGGUCUUAGUGAUCCGGUGGUUCUGUAUGGAAGGGCCAUCGCUCAACGGAUAAAAGGUACUCCGGGGAUAACAGGCUGAUACCGCCCAAGAGUUCAUAUCGACGGCGGUGUUUGGCACCUCGAUGUCGGCUCAUCACAUCCUGGGGCUGUAGUCGGUCCCAAGGGUAUGGCUGUUCGCCAUUUAAAGUGGUACGCGAGCUGGGUUCAGAACGUCGUGAGACAGUUCGGUCCCUAUCUGCCAUGGGCGUUGGAAGUUUGAGAGGGGCUGCUCCUAGUACGAGAGGACCGGAGUGGACGAACCUCUGGUGUUCCGGUUGUCACGCCAGUGGCAUUGCCGGGUAGCUAUGUUCGGAAGCGAUAACCGCUGAAAGCAUCUAAGCGGGAAGCGCGCCUCAAGAUGAGACUUCCCGGGGCACAAGCCCCCUAAAGGAACCAUGUAGACUACGUGGUUGA